UUUAUCCUACGGGGGGCAGCAGUGAGGAAUAUUGGUCAAUGGGCGCAAGCCUGAACCAGCCAAGUCGCGUGAGGGAAGACGGCCCUACGGGUUGUAAACCUCUUUUGCCGGGGAGCAAGCCUGAGCACGUGUGCCCAGGCGGAGAGUACCCGGAGAAAAAGCAUCGGCUAACUCCGUGCCAGCAGCCGCGGUAAUACGGAGGAUGCGAGCGUUAUCCGGAUUUAUUGGGUUUAAAGGGUGCGCAGGCGGAGGCGCAAGUCAGCGGUCAAAUUGCGGGGCUCAACCCCGUACUGCCGUUGAAACUG
rnacentral:rRNA from 1 species